rnacentral:rRNA from 1 species
GACAGCCAGGAUGUUGGCUUAGAAGCAGCCAUCAUUUAAAGAAAGCGUAAUAGCUCACUGGUCGAGUCGGCCCGCGCGGAAGAUGUAACGGGGCUAAACCAUGCACCGAAGCUGCGGCAGCGACACAUAGUGUUGUUGGGUAGGGGAGCGUUCUGUAAGCCUGCGAAGGUGUACUGUGAGGUAUGCUGGAGGUAUCAGAAGUGCGAAUGCUGACAUAAGUAACGAUAAUGCGGGUGAAAAACCCGCACGCCGGAA